UACAGAGGUCUCAAGCGUUGUUCGGAUUCAUUGGGCGUAAAGGGUGUGUAGGUGGCGCGCUAAGUCGGGUGUGAAAUUUCGGAGCUUAACUCCGAAACUGCAUUCGAUACUGGCGUGCUUGAGGACUGGAGAGGAGACUGGAACUCAUGGUGUAGCAGUGAAAUGCGUAGAGAUCAUGAGGAAGACCAGUGGCGAAGGCGGGUCUCUGGACAGUUCCUGACACUGAGACACGAAGGCCAGGGGAGCAAACGGG
rnacentral:rRNA from 1 species